rnacentral:rRNA from 1 species
GAACGCUAGCUACAGGCUUAACACAUGCAAGUCGAGGGGUAGCAUGGUCUUAGCUUGCUAAGGCCGAUGGCGACCGGCGCACGGGUGAGUAACGCGUAUCCAACCUGCCUUACACUCUUGGACAGCCUUCUGAAAGGGAGAUUAAUACAAGAUGUUAUCAUGAGUAAGCAUUUUCGCAUGAUUAAAGGUUUACCGGUGUAAGAUGGGGAUGCGUUCCAUUAGAUAGUAGGCGGGGUAACGGCCCACCUAGUCUUCGAUGGAUAGGGGUUCUGAGAGGAAGGUCCCCCACAUUGGAACUGAGACACGGUCCAAACUCCUACGGGAGGCAGCAGUGAGGAAUAUUGGUCAAUGGACGAGAGUCUGAACCAGCCAAGUAGCGUGAAGGAUGAAGGUUCUAUGGAUUGUAAACUUCUUUUAUACGGGAAUAAACGGAUCCACGUGUGGAUUUUUGCAUGUACCGUAUGAAUAAGGAUCGGCUAACUCCGUGCCAGCAGCCGCGGUAAUACGGAGGAUCCGAGCGUUAUCCGGAUUUAUUGGGUUUAAAGGGAGCGUAGAUGGGUUGUUAAGUCAGUUGUGAAAGUUUGCGGCUCAACCGUAAAAUUGCAAUUGAUACUGGCAGUCUUGAGUACAGUUGAGGUAGGCGGAAUUCGUGGUGUAGCGGUGAAAUGCUUAGAUAUCACGAAGAACUCCGAUUGCGAAGGCAGCUUACUAACCUGUAACUGACAUUGAUGCUCGAAAGUGUGGGUAUCAAACAGGAUUAGAUACCCUGGUAGUCCACACGGUAAACGAUGAAUACUCGCUGUAGGCGAUAUACAGUCUGCGGCCAAGCGAAAGCAUUAAGUAUUCCACCUGGGGAGUACGCCGGCAACGGUGAAACUCAAAGGAAUUGGCGGGGGCCCGCACAAGCGGAGGAACAUGUGGUUUAAUUCGAUGAUACGCGAGGAACCUUACCCGGGCUUAAAUUGCAACCGAAUAUGGCGGAAACGCUAUAGCUAGCAAUAGCGGUUGUGAAGGUGCUGCAUGGUUGUCGUCAGCUCGUGCCGUGAGGUGUCGGCUUAAGUGCCAUAACGAGCGCAACCCUUGCCGAUAGUUACUAACAGGUCAUGCUGAGGACUCUGUCGGGACUGCCAUCGUAAGAUGUGAGGAAGGUGGGGAUGACGUCAAAUCAGCACGGCCCUUACGUCCGGGGCUACACACGUGUUACAAUGGGGGGUACAGAGGGCUGCUACCACGCAAGUGGAUGCCAAUCCCAAAAACCUCUCUCAGUUCGGAUUGAAGUCUGCAACCCGACUUCAUGAAGCUGGAUUCGCUAGUAAUCGAGCAUCAGCCACGGCGCGGUGAAUACGUUCCCGGGCCUUGUACACACCGCCCGUCAAGCCAUGGGAGCCGGGGGUAC